ACAUGCAUACAACAUAGCGCUAAUGCACUGGAUCCCAUUAGAACUUCGGAGUUAAGCGCGCUCAUGCUUGAGUAGUACUGGGAUGGGUGACCGCCUGAGAAGUCCUUGUGUUUUACAUGCA
rnacentral:rRNA from 1 species